UCCGCAUAAAGGAGAUGACCAUCAGGAGGUAAAACAUUACAAACAUCAUUGAUGAACAAAGAAAACAGAAGUGGACUUAGCACACAACCCUGAGGGACACCUGACGUACAAAAAAACUCCUCAGAUAAGUACGACCCGGUUUUAACCCUGCAUGAUCGAUUACUUAAAUAUGAGGACAGCCAGCUAAUAAUGCCAUCACCAAAACCAAGUUUAGACAAUUUAGCUAAUAAUAAAGAGUGAGGCAAACUAUCAAAAGCAGCAUGAAAGUCGGUGUAUAUUGCAUCAAGUUGGGUACCGGCCUCAAAAGAUCUAAAAAUAUUGGAAAUAAAAGACAUGAGAUUAGUUGAAGUAGACCUACCAGGCAUAAACCCAUGCUGUUUAGGGCUAAUAGCUGAACUACAACUAUGAAGUAUGGUUGGAAGGAUACAUAGCUCAAAAGUUUUGGCUGUGGCGCAAGUUUGGGUUAUCCCACGAUAAUUAGACACAAUGCUACGGCAUCCCUUUUUGUGUACCGGAAAAAGCCAACAGGAUUUCCAAAGAGCAGGAAAAACCCCAAGAGAAAGUGAAAGGUUGAAAAUUUUAGCAAGGUGUGGAGCAAGCACGUCCUUACAGUUUAUUAAAACAGAGGCUGGAAUGCCAUCUGGACCAGGAGUAAAAGAAUGUUUCAACCCAAAUAACACCUGUACAACUGUUUCAGAGCUAAUCGAAAUAUCGGAGAGAUUAAUUAAGUUCUCUGGCGUGUAGAGUAGCCCACCCUCAAUAAGGUUAGGGUCACUAACCGGUGGCUCAAACAUUUGGUAAAAAUGCGCAGAGAAUAGCUCACAGAUCUCAACAGGCGUAGAGGCAGUUCGAGAAUCAAGUACCAUUUCAUUAGGUAACGUAUUGCACCCUCUUCGAAUCCUAACAAAUUGCCAGAAGGAUGCUGGAUCAGAACGGAAACGCGAUUGCAGUCUACUCGAAUAGGCCUCAAAACAAGCCCUGUUGUAUAGUCGAUGCGCAGAGGCAGCGUACUUAAAUAAACGAAAGUUGAAAGCAGAUCGGUUCAGACGAUACCUCCUAAGAUAUUUCAUUCUAUCCUUUUUCAGGUUGCGAAGAGUACGAUUGGACCAGGGAGGAUUAGGAGGGGAACGAAAAAUAGGUGUACAUGAAAGGAGUGCAGAGGUUAACAAAGCAUUAAACGAUUGGACAGCCUCGUCGACCGAUGUACAUUGAUAAAAAAAAGACCAGUCGGAACGAGAUAGAAUUGAAUUAAGUUUACGAUAGUCUGUGAGCCGAAAAUUAUAACGAACUCUCAAUGAAUUAGGAGCAGAAGAGCAGGAUGAUGGGCAUCCUGGGGCAGGAGCAGUGACGAAGCAGGAUACACAGAACAACAAGCAGCUGCAGCAGAGUUGGAGAGCACCAGGUCCAAAUAAUGAUUUAAAUGGUUAUGCACCCCGUUCAGCUGAUAGAGUUCAUGCAGGUUUAACAUAUCCAAAAAGCAGGAACUGGAUGUAUUCGAAGAAAUAUGUGGCACAUAAUGUCUUAUAGCUGAAGAUGAAUCUGGCCUUACUGCGGUAGAAAGCGACCACUCUAACGCAGGUUGAUUGAAGUCACCCAGAAGGAUAAGAUGAUCAUUCGGUUUCAUUUGCAUGUAUGCAUCACUGAUGAAAGCAGAAAGGGAUUCCAAAUAGUUGCGGUCGCUGCUCAAAUACGGUGGCACAUAAACAA